UACGAAGGGUGCAAGCGUUAAUCGGAAUUACUGGGCGUAAAGCGUGCGUAGGCGGUUUGUUAAGUCUGUUGUGAAAUCCCCGGCUCAACCUGGGAAUGGCAAUGGAUACUGGCAGCUAGAGUGUGUCAGAGGAUGGUGGAAUUCCCGGUGUAGCGGUGAAAUGCGUAGAGAUCGGAGGAACAUCAGUGGCGAAGGCGGCCAUCUGGACAACACUGACGCUGAGCACGAAGCGUGGAG
rnacentral:rRNA from 1 species